UACGUAGGGUGCAAGCGUUGUCCGGAAUUAUUGGGCGUAAAGAGCUCGUAGGCGGUCUGUCGCGUCGGCUGUGAAAACCCGUGGCUCAACCCCGGGCCUGCAGUCGAUACGGGCAGACUAGAGUGCGGUAGGGGAGACUGGAAUUCCUGGUGUAGCGGUGGAAUGCGCAGAUAUCAGGAGGAACACCGGUGGCGAAGGCGGGAUCCUGGGCCAGUACUGACGCUGAGGAGCGAAAGCGUGGGGAGCAAACAGG
rnacentral:rRNA from 1 species